rnacentral:rRNA from 1 species
GACGAACGCUGGCGGCGUGCUUAACACAUGCAAGUCGAACGAUGAAGCCCAGCUUGCUGGGUGGAUUAGUGGCGAACGGGUGAGUAACACGUGGGCAACCUGCCCCAAACUCUGGGAUAACUCCUCGAAAGAGGUGCUAAUACCGGAUACGAACUAGACAGACAUCUGUACUAGUUGGAAAGUUUUUCGGUUUGGGAGUGGGCCCGCGGCCUAUCAGCUUGUUGGUGAGGUAACGGCUCACCAAGGCUACGACGGGUAACCGGCCUGAGAGGGCGACCGGUCACACUGGGACUGAGACACGGCCCAGACUCCUACGGGAGGCAGCAGUGGGGAAUAUUGCGCAAUGGGCGAAAGCCUGACGCAGCGACGCCGCGUGAGGGAUGAAGGUCUUCGGAUCGUAAACCUCUUUCAGUAGGGACGAAGCGAAAGUGACGGUACCUAAAGAAGAAGCACCAGCUAACUACGUGCCAGCCGCCGCAGUAA